GUUUCUUGCAAAAGAGACAGGAUUUUCUGUGGUAUGUUUAGGUCUAUAGAUGAGAAAUUUUCUGCAUUCUUAAUGAUUCACUUUGUCGUUCAAGAAGGUGGUGUCAAUGUGUUGUAGUUUUCUCUGACUUGUUGCCAUGUAUUUCUGCACUACAAGUUUUUUCUUCAUUUUGAAUGACAAAUUUAUGCCUCUGCAGUUUUACAAAAGUCCAACAUUAGUAUUGUAACAGAUAUUUUUAAAAACAAAAAUCCCUUCUUAU
rnacentral:lncRNA from 1 species